AAAUAUCUGCAACAAGUAGGGGUUGCGUUUCAUUUUUAAAUAACUAAUAUAAUCUUAAGGUCAAGUAGAAUAUAAACAUACUUAGUUUUUUAAUCUGUGAACAUUUGUUUUUCUUUAUGACACUGAGACUAUAGAUAAUGGCGUAAUAGACUUUAUACCUCUGUUAUCUUGCCUUACAAUGAAAUAUACUUUCAGAGUAAAUUUCAGAAUUGUUGAUUUUUUGAGACAAAGGAUUUUUUUUAAUUUUAGAAGAUAAAUCAUUAUGAGACAGUGCUAAUGAAAAGCAGAAAUAUUUAAGUAUAAUAUUCAGAAAUGAUCCCUAUUCCAUGUUGUAUAUAGAUUUAUAAUGGUUAUACAUUUAGGCCAAGGCAGUCUGUGUUUACUUAAUAGUUCUUCAAAAAUAUUAUAAAAUGGGCAUUUCUAGAACUUUUCACUGAAAUUUGGUUAUGUUCUUGUCUUAAUAGUAUUUAUAUUGACAAAGAGGUGUGUGUAAUGGGUGGUUUUGUUUGUUUUGGUGUCUUUUAAAUGUUCUAAAAAUUGUAUAUAUUGAGACAUGAAAAUAUCAGAAUUUUUAGAUUAAUGAAUGUUAAAGUAAAUUCCUUUAGGAUUUGCCUAGGUGUGCUCUGAUGACUAAGGAUCUAAAUCACAGCUAGUCACAUAAUUUUUGUUUUAAGAGUCUCUUUAAAAUUGUAGUGGAAUUUAUCCAAAGUGAUUGGUCUGAUUGUACGUGUGUGUUUGUGUAUUCCAAAUGUUGUGAGGUCUCUGAAUAAUCAGUAGUUUUGUGUUUUACCUUUCUUCCUCUUUUAUCUUUUGUGAAAUAUCUUCAUUUAUUUUGUAUUAGUAAAUUAUUCCCUCAUAAAUUAAAAUUUGAACGUAUCAGAAAUAAAACUUAAGCUCAUUUUGUGUUAUAA
rnacentral:lncRNA from 1 species